AUAUCAAUAAGCGGAGGAAAAGAAACCAACAGGGAUUGCCCUAGUAACGGCGAGUGAAGCGGCAACAGCUCAAAUUUGAAAUCUGGCCCUCGCGGUCCGAGUUGUAAUUUGUAGAGGAUGCUUUGGGCGCGGCGCCUUCCAAGUUCCCUAGAACGGGACGCCUUAGAGGGUGAGAGCCCCGUACGGUUGGACGCCUAGCCUAUGUAUAGCUCCUUCGACGAGUCGAGUAGUUUGGGAAUGCUGCUCUAAAUGGGAGGUAAAUUUCUUCUAAAGCUAAAUACCGGCCAGAGACCGAUAGCGCACAAGUAGAGUGAUCGAAAGAUGAAAAGUACUUUGAAAAGAGGGUUAAAUAGCACGUGAAAUUGUUGAAAGGGAAGCGUUUGCGACCAGACCUUUUCCAGGCGGAUCAUCCGGCGUUCUCGCCGGUGCACUUCGCCUGGUUUAGGCCAGCAUCGGUUUUCCCAGGGGGAUAAAGGCGGCGGGAACGUAGCUCUCUCGGGAGUGUUAUAGCCCGCCGCGUAAUACCCUUGGGGGGACCGAGGACCGCGCUUCGGCAAGGAUGCUGGCGUAAUGGUCGUCAACGACCCGUCUUGAAACACGGACCAAGGAGUCGAACAUUUGUGCGAGUGUUUGGGUGUCAAACCCUCACGCGUAAUGAAAGUGAACGGAGGUGAGAGCCCCUCGCGGGUGCAUCAUCGACCGAUCCUGAUGUCUUCGGAUGGAUUUGAGUAAGAGCAUAACUGUUCGGACCCGAAAGAUGGUGAACUAUGCGUGGAUAGGGUGAAGCCAGAGGAAACUCUGGUGGAGGCUCGCAGCGGUUCUGACGUGCAAAUCGAUCGUCAAAUCUGCGCAUGGGGGCGAAAGACUUAUCGAACCAUCUAGUAGCUGGUUACCGC
rnacentral:rRNA from 1 species